GACGAACGCUGGCGGCGUGCCUAAUACAUGCAAGUUGAGCGAUGAAGAUUGGUGCUUGCACCAAUUUGAAGAGCAGCGAACGGGUGAGUAACGCGUGGGGAAUCUGCCUUUGAGCGGGGGACAACAUUUGGAAACGAAUGCUAAUACCGCAUAACAACUUUAAACAUAAGUUUUAAGUUUGAAAGAUGCAAUUGCAUCACUCAAAGAUGAUCCCGCGUUGUAUUAGCUAGUUGGUGAGGUAAAGGCUCACCAAGGCGAUGAUACAUAGCCGACCUGAGAGGGUGAUCGGCCACAGUGGGACUGAGACAAGGCCCAAACUCCUAAGGGAGGCAGCAGUAGGGAAUCUUCGGAAAUGGACGAAAGUCUGAACGAGCAACGCCGCGUGAGUGAAGAAGGGUUUCGGAGCGUAAAACUCUGUUGGUAGAGAAGAACGUGGGUGAGAGUGGAAAGCUCAUCAAGUGACGGUAACUACCCAGAAAGGGACGGCUAACUACGUG
rnacentral:rRNA from 1 species